rnacentral:rRNA from 1 species
CCUACGGGAGGCAGCAGUGGGGAAUAUUGCACAAUGGGGGAAACCCUGAUGCAGCGACGCCGCGUGAGUGACGAUGUAUUUCGGUAUGUAAAGCUCUAUCAGCAGGGAAGAAGAAAGACGGUACCUGACUAAGAAGCACCGGCUAACUACGUGGCAGCAGCUGCGGUAAUACGUAGGGGGCCAGCGUUAUCCGGAUUUACUGGGUGUAAGGGGAGUGUAGACGGUUGUGCAAGUCUGAAGUGAAAGCCCAGGGCUCAAGGCGGGGACUGCUAUGGAUACUGUGGAGCUAGAGUGCUGAUGAGGUAAGUGGAAUUCCUGGUGUAGCGGUGAAAUGCAUAGAUAUUA